AGGAUUUUUCUCAAUGGGGGAAACCCUGAAGGAGCGACGCCGCGUGAGGGAUGAAGGUCUUCGGAUUGUAAACCUCUGUCAUCUGGGAACAAUGCGCUCCACCUAAUACGUGGAUCGUUGAUAGUACCGGCAGAGGAAGCAGUGGCUAACUCUGUGCAAGCAGCCGCGGUAAUACAGGGACGGCGAGCGUUGUUCGGAUUCAUUGGGCGUAAAGGGCGCGUAGGCGGUCCGGUAAGUCGUGUGUGAAAUCUCACAGCCCAACUGUUAGCGGUCAUUCGAAACUGCCGGUCUCGAGGAAUGGAGAGGAUACUGGAAUGGUCGGUGUAGCGGUGAAAUGCGUAGAGAUCGACCAGAACACCGGUGGCGAAGGCGGGUCUCUGGACAUUUCCUGACGCUGAGGCGCGAAAGCCAGGGGAGCAAAC
rnacentral:rRNA from 1 species